rnacentral:rRNA from 1 species
GAUGAACGCUGGCGGCGUGCCUAAUACAUGCAAGUCGAGCGAACAGACGAGGAGCUUGCUCCUCUGACGUUAGCGGCGGAUGGGUGAGUAACACGUGGAUAACCUACCUAUAAGACUGGGAUAACUUCGGGAAACCGGAGCUAAUACCGGAUAAUAUAUUGAACCGCAUGGUUCAAUAGUGAAAGACGGUUUUGCUGUCACUUAUAGAUGGAUCCGCGCCGCAUUAGCUAGUUGGUAAGGUAACGGCUUACCAAGGCAACGAUGCGUAGCCGACCUGAGAGGGUGAUCGGCCACACUGGAACUGAGACACGGUCCAGACUCCUGCGGGAGGCAGCAGUAGGGAAUCUUCCGCAAUGGGCGAAAGCCUGACGGAGCAACGCCGCGUGAGUGAUGAAGGUCUUCGGAUCGUAAAACUCUGUUAUUAGGGAAGAACAAAUGUGUAAGUAACUAUGCACGUCUUGACGGUACCUAAUCAGAAAGCCACGGCUAACUACGUG